AUGAAAUGAAUGUUGAGAGGGGUUGUAGCUGGCCUUUCCAGGCAUGUGCACACCUUGAUCACACAUCCACCUCUUACACCUGUGCACUAUGUGUAGCUUGGGGAUGAUUACAAUGUCGGAAACGAUGUUGAAAGCCCUAGCUAUGUAUUUUUAUAUACCCAUAUAUAAAGUUAUAGAAUGGAUAAUGUUAUAGCGUGUAAUAGCGCAAAUAUAUA
rnacentral:misc_RNA from 1 species